GUCUUAUAUUAGAUGUAGCCACGCAAGACAGUGACGCAUCUCCCUGUAGGACGGGAACUUUGAGCAGAAGCAUGUGCGACAAGUCUUAUUGCGUGGCUUUUUAGUUGAAAUAAGGUGAGUACGUGUGGAAUAGGCUAAUCGUAGGGCCUUAGAUUGAAAAAUCUUAAAACUAAUCUAAGAAUUGUAAGGAUUAGAUUUUUUAUUUUUUUUACAAUUUUUAGUUGCGAUACC
rnacentral:sRNA from 12 species